rnacentral:rRNA from 1 species
AGACGUUGGAAAUUUAUUUUCAGUGUCGCAGGGAAACCGAUAAACACACCGCCUGGGGAGUACGACCGCAAGGUUAAAACUCAAAUGAAUUGACGGGGACCCGCACAAGUAGUGGAGCAUGUGGUUUAAUUCGAAGAUACGCGCAGAACCUUACCAACACUUGACAUGUUCGUCGCGACUCUAAGAGAUUAGAGUUUUCGGUUCGGCCGGACGAAACACAGGUGCUGCAUGGCUGUCGUCAGCUCGUGUCGUGAGAUGUUGGGUUAAGUCCCGCAACGAGCGCAACCCUCACUUUUAGUUGCCAUCAUUAAGUUGGGCACUCUGAAAGAACUGCCAGUGAUAAGCUGGAGGAAGGUGGGGAUGACGUCAAGUCCUCAUGGCCCUUACGUGUUGGGCUACACACGUGCUACAAUGGCAUCUACAACAGGAAGCGAAACGGCAACGUUAAGCAAAUCCCGAAAAGAUGCCUCAGUUCGGAUUGCACUCUGCAACUCGAGUGCAUGAAGCUGGAAUUACUAGUAAUCGUGGAUCAGCGUGCCACGGUGAAUGCGUUCCCGGGUCUUGUACACACCGCCCGUCACACCAUGGGAGUUGGUUCUACCUUAAGGCAAGGUUUUAAACCCUUGACCACGGUAUAGUCAGCGACUGGGGUG